rnacentral:rRNA from 1 species
AGGAUAAUAUCUCUUGAACCUUGGUUUUUGAGAUCAAAGGUGGCCUCUCCUUGGAAGCUUCUGUUUGGGGAUGAGCCCGCGUACCAUUAGCUUGUUGGUAGGGUAACGGCCUACCAAGGCUGCGAUGGUUAGCUGGUCUGAGAGGAUGAUCAGCCACACUGGAACUGACACACGGUCCAGACUCCUACGGGAGGCAGCAGUGAGGAAUUUUGCGCAAUGGGGGAAACCCUGACGCAGCAACGCCGCGUGAGUGAUGAAGGCUUUCGGGUCGUAAAGCUCUGUCAAGUGGGAAGAAAUCACUUGGUGAUAAUACCACCAUGUAUUGACGGUACCACUGAAGGAAGCACCGGCUAACUCCGUGCCAGCAGCCGCGGUAAUACGGGGGGUGCAAGCGUUAUUCGGAAUUACUGGGCGUAAAGCGCGCGUAGGCGGUUUGGCAAGUCAGAUGUGAAAGCCCUGGGCUCAACCCGGGAAGUGCAUUUGAAACUGCCUGACUUGAGUAUGGGAGAGGGAAGUGGAAUUCCUGGUGUAGCGGUGAAAUGCGUAGAUAUCAGGAGGAACACCGGUGGCGAAGGCGACUUCCUGGACCAAUACUGACGCUGAUGCGCGAAGGCGUGGGGAGUAAACAGGAUUAGAUACCCUGGUAGUCCACGCAGUAAACGUUGAACACUAAGUGUAGCGGGUAUUGACCCCUGCUGUGCCGCAGCUAACGCAUUAAGUGUUCCACCUGGGGAGUACGGCCGCAAGGUUAAAACUCAAAGGAAUUGACGGGGGCCCGCACAAGCGGUGGAGCAUGUGGUUUAAUUCGACGCAACGCGAAGAACCUUACCUGGAUUUGACAUCUCGGGAAUCUCUUGGAAACUUGAGAGUGCCCUUCGGGGAGCCCGAUGACAGGUGCUGCAUGGCUGUCGUCAGCUCGUGUCGUGAGAUGUUGGGUUAAGUCCCGCAACGAGCGCAACCCCUAUCUUUAGUUACCAGCAUUCAGUUGGGGACUCUAAAGAUACUGCCCCGGUUAACGGGGAGGAAGGUGGGGAUGACGUCAAGUCCUCAUGGCCUUUAUAUCCAGGGCUACACACGUGCUACAAUGGACUGUACAAAGGGUUGCCACACCGCGAGGUGAAGCUAAUCCCGUAAAGCAGUUCGUAGUUCGGAUUGGAGUCUGCAACUCGACUCCAUGAAGUUGGAAUCGCUAGUAUCGUGGAUCAGCAUGCCACGGUGAAUACGUUCCCGGGCCUUGUACACACCGCCCGUCACACCACGAGAGUUGGUUGUACCAGAAGUCGUUGGGCCAACCCAUUAGGGAGGCAGGCGCCUAAGGUAUGGCUGAUGAUUGGGGUGAAGUCGGAACAAGGUA